AAUUAAAUCAAAAAUCCUUUAAUAAUUAUUAGCUAGAAAGUCAUAAUUAAUGCUGAAAGGGUAAAUUGAUUAAAUACGUCAUUUAAAUCUGAAAAAGCCACUUUUAUUGCAAAAUAGCAUUAUAUAUUUUAAGCUUAUUUGUUGAGAAAUGAGUCCCAUAGAAAGAUUUCAAUAUAGUAUAUCAAAAUGCUUGAAGAGUAUUCAUCACAAUGGCUUUUAUAUACAGUUUUCUGCUGUUUCGUGAUACGACCACAGUUAAGUUCAUCUGUAAAGGAAAACGUUUCUUUACAAAAUAAUCCCACAGGUCCGGAACAACAGCAAAAACAAAACAAAAAGUGUGAAAAAACCAAGUUUGGUCACUUGACAUAAGAUAUCCACCACAUCCCUUUCGACAGCCCGGUUCCAUUUCCAUUUUAAACAAAACAAUAAUAAUAAGCGACAUCUUAAAAUCAGUGCAUUAAAAAGUGUGUCCAAUAAUCAAACAUUCAUUUGACACGACAAGAAGGAAGCAAUACUCGUUUUAGAGGGUUUCCGAAACAGGGAGGUCCAAGGAAUACGCCAAAGAGAUGCCAAUCUGAUGGGCAAGAUCCGCUGCUGCAGUAGGAAACUGAGAGGGGGCUUCUGGGUAAAGGAGUAAAACCAGAAAAAAAUGGACUGCCCCACUCACCACGCCCUGGGAAAUCUGGAUGCUGGUUCUUUAACGUGGCAGCAAAGCAGUACUUUGCACAUGGGAAAGCGUUAAUGGCACAGAGGGAUAAGCAGCAAUAAAUACAGAAAGCGUAAUAGAGAGGUAGGGUGGGGAGCGUUUUCCAUUCUGAGGAUCACCUUCCUUUCCAGACCUUCUGGGGUCAAAAGUGGGCAGAGCACUGUACAAACAGGCUAGUUUCUACACAUGGCUCACCCAACUCUCUCUUCGGCAAGAGGCAUCAGUCUCAAGAGUUCAAGGACAUAUUUCAGCCAGGCAAAAGCACCCAAGGGUGGGGAAGCAGGGCAGGAUUAAGACUACAGUGGAUGCUCAGGUUGCGAACGUGAUCCGUGCGGGACGCACGUCCGCAACCCGCAGCGUCGCGUCUGCGCAGGUUGCGAUUCGUCUCGUCUGCGCAAAGCGCGAUUUAGCACUUCUGCGCAUGCGCGACCACCGAACCCCGGAAGUAACCCGUUCUGGUACUUCCGGGUUUUGGCAUUCCGCAACCCAAGAAAACGCAACCUGAAGCGUCUGUAAUCCGAGGUAUGACUGUACGGCCUGGGGAAAAUUCAGAGAGCCAGGUACAGAGGACCAGCUCCCCAAAACCCAAGGUUCCCCAUGCCUGGCGCAACGGGACAGAUAAAACAGGCAGAGAUCCCAAGGAGCAGAGUCGGAGGUGUGGAAGGGAAAGUUGAGCCGAGGAAGCGAAAACUGGCAAAAGCUUAGGAACCAGGGAUUUGCUCAGCAAAAUUGGGAGAAGGCAGUUUAGGUGAGCCUGCACUGAACCCCUUCAGCCUUCAAGUGAGAAGGUUGCAUAGCUGAAAUGGUUCUCUGCAGAUAAAUAAAUUCUCCACGCAGAAGCCUGAAGUGGUGCAGAGCAGAAGGUGGUUUGCUACCUCACCUAAAGAUCAUUUGCGGAAGGUUUCUGCAUUUCAUGCGCGUCUGAUAUGUGCACCACCACCGCCCUGCUGUGAACGUCCAUGGCACCCUUUGAACCCAAACUGCCUCCCCCUGCUCUCUUCCACGGCCCCACUUUCAGCUUCCGCUAGGAAAAGUCACUGGCAAAUAUUUUACCGCCGUUGCCAUAAUAAAUUGCAGGCCAAACCGCCCGGUUUGUGAAGACGGGCCGGCUGCAUUCCUGGUUCUCCCCCGGGCAGAAUGCGAAGACGGUUAGCUAAGGAGCACACACAGUUGUGCAAACUUCUCAGAAGUUAAGGAGGGCUUUUAUUUAAUACUGUUGGGUAUUCAAGUACCAACAUUGUCCCAAUCUUCAAUUGCUUAGCUGUACGUUCAGCCGCUCAUCAGAUCAGAUGCUCAGAUUCAGUAUAUGGCGGUAUCCCAUGUUCCUUCCUCAAUCCGUCAGAUGAUCCACAUUGUCAUUAUGACGGAGAAAAGGCAAUUUAUUUAUUUUUUUUAAAAAGAGCAGAAUACAAUCUGUGUGCCUCACAGGGAUGCCGUCAGAUAUUGUGACACAACGCCUGGUCUUUGGAAACAGGGGGUCACCCAAAAAAUAUCCCUGCAGCAACAUCUACUGUCAUUGCCAAAUCAAACAUUACACCACAAACAAGUCUUGAGAUAUGGGGAAUGUUCCUCUUGAUUUUUUUAAAAUGACUAGACUGGGCAGCUAAUCCAGGUUGGCAAAUAAACGGGCAACCUUCACCGUCCCACUUUCCUCCACGCAAAACUAUUUCAACAGUUUGUGGCACUGAAAGAAGUUCCGCAAGUUCCCGCUGUUGGGUUCACAGGUGAGACCGUAACAGCUAGAGAGAGCAGAACUAGAUUGUUUCAAGGCAGGCACCCCCAAACUUGGCCCUCUAGCUGUUUUGGAACUACAGUUCCCAUCAUCCCUGACCAAUGGGAUGAUGGGAGUUGCAGUCCCAAAACUGCUGGAGGGCCGAGUUUGGGGAUGGCCGAGUUAGGGGCAAAGACCUUGCUCCUUGUGGAUGUGAGUUGUUUCCCCUCGUUAUGGGUCCAGCCCCAGCGUUUGGCUCCAUAUUGGAUAUAGUCUUAAGAUACAUUCCAGCUGGGGUGGAGAUUGCAGCUCAUCACCUCCUGGCUGCAGGUCACAGGGAGUGAUUUCUUUUUUUAAAAACGGGCCCUCUGGUUGGGGAGAUACAAUCAUAGUAAAUACAACCUUUAAAUUCCGGGCUCCACGUUUUAGCUGGCGGCAUCUCAGGGGCAAAGUGCACACGGCGUUUAUAGGCUUCCUAAUGUUGUGCGUCUCUUUCUUGUUGCAGCAAACAGUGUGUGGCAGGGAAGAGCAUCAACAAGACUCAGAAUAAGGCUUUAACUCCCCACCCCAAAAAUGCAGAGUUUCAACACACAAAGAGCAGGAGGGGCGGAUUUUCUAGGGACACCACACAUAAUUCCACUUUUAUUUUAUCCAUGCCAUUUAUCUUCCUUCUGGGAGAAGGCAGUCUGGGUUUCCCCCUGAUAAGAGACAAGCUCCCAAGCAUUCACACACAACUUUCAGUAUUGCACAGGUUCAGUAAAGCCAAGAAGGCAUUUCAGAGGCACACAGUCUUUAGCAGGGGUAGCCAACGUGGAGCCCACGUAGACACAGAUCCCUGACCGUUGCGGCUGUGUUAGGAGUCAAACGUCCAUGCUCCAUGUUGGCUACCCCCGGUCUGAAAAUACUACAUUCUUUUCUUCCGGCGGCUGUUUUUAGAAUACAUUUGGACCAAGCAUUGCUCUUUUCGACUACAUAAAGUGAAGAAGAUGCCCUAGCCGUGCCAGAUUUUGCUACAGGAGAUGCAAACAGGUGUGCUAAGACGACUCACUUUAAACAGGCCCCUUUCCUUAGCUAGCAGAGCUCUACUGCGGCCCCUGCAAAUUUUACACCCCUAAAAGGCUUACUUUAAGAGGCAUUUGCCCCCAGCCAGAAGUUAAAAGUUCUUUGCCAAGUCCGUACUUCUACUGAAGGGAGACUUGCCUCCAGUCUCAAUGAUGCGUUCGGGACGCAUGACAGUACAGAAAAAAAUCUGCCUUAGGAACUUUGAUUGAACAGCUUCCAAAGUGCUAAGGUGGUUACCAGUCCAAAUCAGAGCCCCGUGUAGUAGCUGUGCUAGGGGUUUGGCUCGGAAGACUUCUAGGGCUGAUGGUAUAUGUUUGCCACCCUUUGUAUGGAAAAAAAUCAGAAUAAGAGCCACUAACUGACUGCUGAUUCAGGACUUUAAAUUGUGCUUUUAUAUCAAAUUUCCUUUUCUGCGUAUACUGUAAUGUUUUACUGUUGCUAUGGCCAUUGGGCUAAUGCGAAUAAAGUUUUAUUUUAUUUAUUUGCCCCCAGCCACUCUGGUGGGAUCUGAGCACAUCUCCUGAAAGAGGAUUGGCCCUAACAGCGACUCCCAUAAAACCAGGAAUAUUUUUUUGAUGGGCUUUUAAAAAAAUAAAAUAAAAUUGGGAGCAGCUGAAUCCAGUCACUCCAAUCACAUCCCAGUGGGGAGAUGGGGCAGAGCCCCACUUCCUGCCCUCCAACGAAGGUUGUCUGGGAAGGAGGCAGGGCCAUGCAAUAGCUCUGGGUGUUUUUAUUUCUUGAUGCCGCAAGUUUGCCCACGAGACCCGGCUUUUCAGCUGUGAAACAUAGCAGGUGCUGCUGAGUUGUACUGAUUAAGCUGUGUCAGCAAUUGGGUGUAGUAUAUAAGGAGCAGCACCUAGCUCUCCCAUUACCCUGGGGGAUGGGUUGGUGGUUGGGUCAUGUUUGUUUGUUGAUGUAUUUUGUGUAUAAGGAGUUUUUGUAAUUAAAACCUUGUUUAAGUUAUUUUUGAGUCCCUUUUUAAUGCAUGGUCUCCCCAGCAAGCUCUCUGCAGCGUUACUAUACUGCAAAUAGCCAACAUCUUUGGUUAUGGGCCCAGUUGCUGAGUGGAUGACUGCAUAUUUUUUGGACUCUGAGAAAGGUUUGAAAACUCCUUCUCCUGUUGGCGUAGUUCUGUGGGUCUGGAAGAGUUCCAGAAUGGUUGACCGGGUUCCUGAAGCUGAGAAGGCUCUGGUCUUCCCACAGCUGACAGAUGAGAACUAUAGUUUAUGGUCUUUUUGGGUGGAGGCGCUCUUGACCUCUAGAGAAGGAUGGACCUAUGUAACUGAUGACCCUCCUAACCCUGUAACUAAUGCUUGGUCGAAAGGAGAUGCAAAAGCCAGGGCGAUAAUUAAUUUGGCAGCCAGCGACCAGCAUGUAGUCUAUAUAAGGAAUAAGAAAACUGCCAAAGAAAUGUGGGACAGUCUUGCAGCAGUGCAUAUUAGAAAAGAGUCAGCGUCUGCAUUGACGUUUUUCAAGCAGCUGUACCAGACCAAGUUGCAGCCUGGUGGUGAUUUGGCAGCACAUUUGAGACGUCUGGAGGCAAUACGCGGCGAAUUAAUUCGAAGGGACAUGGAGAUACCUGAUAUUCAGUAUGUUUUUAUCAUUCUUUGUUCCCUUAACGAGGACUUUGAUGGUAUAGCUAGCCAGAUAUCUGCCGUUCCACCAGCACAAUUAACUGUGGAAGGGGUAACGGCAAGAUUAAUGGGCGAGUUGGACAGAAGGGAGGCUUGUGCCAUAAGCACUCCUAUUUCCAAAAAGAAUGAGGAACCCCAUACACAAACUUGUGGUGAUACAACUGCAUUUAAAGCUGCCAAGUGUUGUUGGUUCUGCAAUAAGCAAGGACAUUUUGCAAAGGACUGCAGAUCCAAAAGAAAGCAAAGUACUCCCAAGUCUGUUUCUGUUCGUCAGUCACGGUCGUCAGCCCAGCAGCCAACAUUGUAUAGUAGAGAAAGAAACGAGCCGCGAGCUUUUUACACUCUGACUACAGAUCGUAAAAGAAUUAAAGGUGCCAAGUGGAAUUCUUUUAUUGUGGACUCAGGAGCAUCCCAGCACAUUUGCAACGAUCGAAGCUUGUUUAUUUCUUUCGAAGAGGAAAUUGGUAAUGUACAUUUAGCCAAUUCACAAGUCUUGCAGUCGCUUGGCAGGGGUACUGUUAAACUUGACUCUUUAAACAUUACAAUAGCAAACUGCAUUUACUGCCUGUCAGUGGACAAUUUAUUAUCAGUAAGGUGCUUUGCUCGUCAAGGCAUAACUGUGCGUUUCUUAAAGUCAAUGUGUGAGUUUUUCAAGGGGAACAAACGUCUAUUGUGUGCCCGGGAAUCUGAUGGUUUAUAUAGACUGUACUUUUGCACCUACUCACAAUCGCCUAUAAACUGCAGAGCAGCACAGUCAGGCCAGGGGUUGAGGAAUGUAAGGCCACAUUCCGGGUGUGUCCAUGAGGCGCACAGAGUUCUAGGACAUUUAAAUUUUGCUGAUGUAAUUAAGACAAAGAAUAUUGCUAAUGGCCUCAACUUAAAACCAUGUAAAAUCUUUAUGCAAUGUCUAUCCUGUUGCAAGAAUAAGAUCAAGGUUGCACGCAAGGGUAGGUGCUCAGAUAGGAAAGUAACUGAGCCAUUUGAGCAUGUACAUUGUGAUUUAGUUGGGCCACUCCCACCAUCAUUAGGAGGUUCUAAGUACUGGCUUACCCUGAUAGACCAGUAUAGCAGAUAUUGUUGGACUUAUGCAAUAGCUGAGAAGUCCCAAGCAUUUGAGAAGUACAAGGUUUUUUGCAACUGGGUAAAAACGCACUUUAACAAACCUAUUAAGAACCUGUUUUCUGACCGGGGCGGGGAAUUUGUUUCUGAGGAUUUUGAGAAAUUCCUGGAAGCGCAGGGGACUACUCAUGAGUUAUCUUGCCCCCGAAGUCCCUGGCAAAAUGGGCUUGUUGAAGUUGUGCAGCGUGACUUGCAGGCAGGGGUUAAAACUUAUCUGCAUGAUGCUAAUCUGCCCAAAGACUUUUGGGCUGAAGCGCUCCAUGCCUUUUGUUAUGUUAGAAAUCAGUUAUCAUUCUGGUUUAGAUGUCACCCCCUAUGAGAAGUUGUUUAAAAAAUGCCCUAAUUUGAAAUACCUACGCAUUUGGGGUUCGGAUGUAAUUAUGCAUUAUCCCGCUAAGCAGAAAUUGGGUGAGCGUAGUGUUCAGGGAAAAUUAAUGGGCUACCAGCAGGGGGUGUACAGAAUUUACAUACCAGCAACUGGCAAAUUUCAUAUUACCAGAAGCGUGAUACAAACUGUAAAUUGGAAUGGGGUUGCUGUUUUCCAAGAUGCUAACGGUAUAGAUGAUACUGAGGAAGAAGAGGUAGAAGCAGCAGCAGCAGCAGGAAAUGGUGCUUCUGAAUUAAUGGAAGAAGACAAAAAGCCUGUUGAAUCUGAUAAUUUGUUUGAUUUAAAGUCACAGGCACCCGAGGAGAGGUUAGAUUCUCUUGAGUUUUCUGACCGUGAGCUUAGCCCACAGGCAUCUCUUCAGUCUGACAAUGAUGAUUUACAACCUGAAACUAGUAGUUUACAUAGUCCCAUUAAGUCUGAGUCUGACUCUCCUUCCGGACUAAGACGUUCAGAUAGAAAGAGGCAGAAGCCACAACAUUUUGGAGAUGAACAUUUUAAUACUGUGUUUGCCAAUAAGGCGGUUUUUGAGCCAAAAAGCUACAAUGAUGUUCGGAAUUUACCUAAGCACCAAGCUGCAAAUUGGUAUAAAGCUAUGAACUCUGAAAUAGCUUCUUUAAAAGAGCAUAACACUUGGUCUCUUGUACCACAAACCCCAGAUAUGAGACUUAUUGAUUCAAAAUGGGUUUAUAGAGUUAAAAUGAAUGACAAAAAUGAAGUUGUAAGGUACAAGGCAAGAUUAGUUGCUAGGGGUUUUCAACAAAUUCCAGGCGAAGAUUAUGAUUUGUGCUAUUCACCAAGUGUAAAAUAUGAAACAGUUAAGCUUUUGUUAAAAGAUGCAUCACAACGUGGACAUUCUGUUUAUCACCUAGAUAUAAAAACUGCAUAUUUGUUUGCAGAUUUAAAAGAACAAAUUUUUAUGCGUGUUCCUGAAGGCAUAGACGCCGCUGAAGGUUUGGUAUGCAAAUUAAAUAAAUCCCUUUAUGGUCUGCACCAAAGUGGAAGGAAUUGGCACCAAACUUUAGCAAAAGAAUUGCUGGAUAUUGGGUUUUCACAGGGAAAGGCAGACAAUUGUGUGUUUAUAAAGGAAAGGGCAAACUCUGUAGCAAAAAUAUGUGUGUAUGUAGAUGACGUGUUAAUUUCUACAAAAACUAAACAGGAAUAUGAACAGGUAGUAACACAGUUACAGAAGAAAUUUGAUGUGGUGGAAUUAGGCACAGCUAAAAAUUACUUAUCCAUGCAAAUUGAGAAAGGCAAAAAUGGAUCUUUUCUAGUUCAGCAAACUGCAAAAAUUGAUGAUCUUGUUGAAAUGCUAUGUUUAGAAAAUGCAAAUGGGAAGCAAACGCCUAUGGUGUGUGGUUUCACCUUUACAGGUGAAGAUAAGCCAUUUCCUAACAAAACUUUGUAUCGUUCUGCUAUAGGCAAGCUAAAUUUUAUUCAAAGAAUCUCAAGACCAGAUAUAACUUAUGCUUUUCACUUUCUGGCAAAAUUUGUGGAUAAGCCCACUACGCAAUGUUUCUCUGCUCUUAAGAGAGUGGUGAUGUACCUUAAACAUACCAAAUAUUAUAGGUUGCAGUUUACAACAUGUAUUGACAAAGGUUUUGAAAUUUUCUGCGAUGCAUCUCACGCAGUGGAACAAAAUAAUUGCAGGGGUGUGUCUGGUAUGGUGUUUUGUUAUAACGGUUGUCCAUUUGAAUGGAAGUCCCAGACACAAAACAUUAUUUGUCUCUCCACAACAGAGAGUGAAUUAUGUGCAUGCGUUCAGGCCACUCGUGAUGUAGAAUGGUAUCUGCAAGUAUUCGCAGACCUACAGAUGCAAGUAACACUACCAGUAAAAGUUUACCUUGAUUCCCAGAGUGGACUCGCUAUCCUAUGUUCAGAAACCAAUACGCAGCGCACUAGAGUCUUAAGAUUACGUUUAGAAUUUGUAAAGAAACUAAUUGCUGAUGAAAUGAUUGUCACCUGGAACAUAUUGAAAUACAAUCAAAUUGCAGACAUUUUUACUAAAGCUCUUCCAAAGGUUACACAUGAAAGACAUGUACAAAAUAUGCUUUAUGUUUCUGUUCCACAAUGAUGAACCGCAGGGGAAAUGUUGAAUGGUUUCUUUAAAUGUAAAGGUUCAUCAUUGUUCCACCCGAUGUGUAUGUCUUUAAGGGGCCAGAGCAAAAUAACGAGACCCGGCUUUUCAGCUGUGAAACAUAGCGGGUGCUGCUGAGUUGUACUGAUUAAGCUGUGUCAGCAAUUGGGUGUAGUAUAUAAGGAGCAGCACCUAGCUCUCUCAUUACCCUGGGGGAUGGGUUGGUGGUUGGGUCAUGUUUGUUUGUUGAUGUAUUUAGUGUAUAAGGAGUUUUUUGUAAUUAAAACCUUGUUUAAGUUAUUUUUGAGUCCCUUUUUAAUGCAUGGUCUCCCCAGCAAGCUCUCUGCAGCGUUACUAUACUGCAAAUAGCCAACAAUGCCCGCUCCUGGGCAUCUCCACGGAAACAGCGCCUGGAAUGCCUCACUCUGGUAUUAAAAGCGUUAACAGCUACGACAUGUUGUGGUGGGCAAGUUAUGGAAUUUCUCUGCAGAGAGCUCUGAAUGGCACCCAUGAGCCUCUCCCCCCGUGCUGGGCUUUGCCCUCCCUGCGUGGGCAAAACAUUGGCCAGCCUUGCUUCUCUGCACAGCAAAGAGCGAGAGACACACUGGGUUUUCUUAUUGUUUACCGCGUAACCGCUUAUCACGCUGCUACAAAAGAGCUCCGAAUCAGGAGCCCGCGAUUUCGCCUCGCUCUCAGAAACAUGCCAAACACACGUAAGGUUGAGAGGGAAACCGUAAGACGAAGAAGUCCGGAUGGGAAGGCAAAACAGCCCCUUGGGUCUUCCCAUCCCAUAUGGAAAAGCAAGAGGAGGCCGGGGUGGGCAGGCGCACGGCAGAAAAAUGCGACUUGGCAGACUUUUCACUUUCUUUCUUCAUUCACCCACUAUUUGGUGCGGAAUCGGUACUUCUAAAGUAAGCUGCAAGCCUUCAUGAUAUUGGCUAUAAUUAUUACUACUAUUUGUGAUUUCCAAGAUACUUAGAAAUGCGGGGAAACAGCAUAGGGCGGGCAUGGGCAAACUCGGCCCUCCAGAUGAUUUGGGACUACAAUUCCCAUCAUCCCUGACCGCUGGUCCUGUUAGCUAGGGAUGAUGGGAGUUGUAGUCCCAAAACAUCUGGAGGGCCGAGUUUGCCCAUGCCUGGCAUAGGCAGUGUUUGCAACAUGUGCUUUUUGGGGUGGGAGUAGCAUGGUCAAUUGGGUGGAUUUGUAGAGGACAAAUGCAAAAGGGUUCAAUCCCUAGCAUCUCCAGGUAGGACUGGGGAAAAAGAUCUUGCCUGAAUCCUGGAAAGCAGCUACCAGUCAGUGUAGACAAUACUGAACUAGAGAGUGAUCCUGGAAACUAGGCUCAGCACAAGGCAGGUUCCUAUGCCCCUACAAGCAAUGUGCUUGGACAGGGUAGGAGAGGGGUUUGUGGGCCGAUGGGGUUUGGGCUCGAGAGAGGCAAAUGCCACUGGCUACCGACAGCCUGAAGACUUGAGGCUAUCGAGGCCACAUUGCACAUCACUGAUCGGUAACCGAAUACAGGCAGGAGAUACCAAACAUGAAUCGCAGGCCGGCCAAUUCACAUAAGAGCCAAAAGAAAACCAAAGGGAAGUCAACCAUGAGCAGUGUUGGAAACUCAGGUGCGUAAGCUAGGUGCCAAAUGGCUGCUUAAACCAGUCGCCAAAACGGAAUGCCUAGAUGCCAUUUGGGGGACCAGGCGGCUCAAAAAAAAAUAAUUCAUAUUUUUCAAUGCGACUUUUUGUUUCCUGAAAUUC
rnacentral:lncRNA from 1 species